rnacentral:rRNA from 1 species
CAGUCGCCGCGGGAAUACGUAGGGUGCAAGCGUUAAUCGGAAUUACUGGGCGUAAAGCGUGCGCAGGCGGUUUUGUAAGACAGAGGUGAAAUCCCCGGGCUCAACCUGGGAACUGCCUUUGUGACUGCAAGGCUAGAGUACGGCAGAGGGGGAUGGAAUUCCGCGUGUAGCAGUGAAAUGCGUAGAUAUGCGGAGGAACACCGAUGGCGAAGGCAAUCCCCUGGGCCUGUACUGACGCUCAUGCACGAAAGCGUGUGGAGCAAACAGGAUUAGAUACCCCAGUAGUCCCUGUCUCUUAUAC